GAACUUAAGCAUAUCAAUAAGCGGAGGAAAAGAAACCAACAGGGAUUGCCUCAGUAACGGCGAGUGAAGCGGCAACAGCUCAAAUUUGAAAUCUGGCUCUUUCAGGGUCCGAGUUGUAAUUUGUAGAAGAUGCUUUGGGUGUAGCUCCGGUCUAAGUUCCUUGGAACAGGACGUCAUAGAGGGUGAGAAUCCCGUAUGUGACUGGGUGCUUUCGCUCGUGUAAAGCUCUUUCGACGAGUCGAGUUGUUUGGGAAUGCAGCUCAAAAUGGGUGGUAAAUUUCAUCUAAAGCUAAAUAUUGGCCAGAGACCGAUAGCGCACAAGUAGAGUGAUCGAAAGAUGAAAAGCACUUUGGAAAGAGAGUUAAACAGUACGUGAAAUUGUUGAAAGGGAAGCGCUUGCAACCAGACUUGCGCGCUGUUGAUCAUCCGAGCUUUUGCCCGGUGCGCUCGGCAGCGUUCAGGCCAGCAUCGGUUUUGGUGGGCGGAUAAAGGCCUUGGGAAUGUAGCUUCUUUCGGGGAGUGUUAUAGCCCUCGGUGCAAUGCGCCCUACCGGGACCGAGGACCGCGCUUCGGCUAGGAUGCUGGCGUAAUGGUUGUAAGCGACCCGUCUUGAAACACGGACCAAGGAGUCUAACAUCUAUGCGAGUGUUUGGGUGUCAAACCCAUACGCGUAAUGAAAGUGAACGGAGGUGAGAACCCUUAAGGGUGCAUCAUCGACCGAUCCUGAUGUCUUCGGAUGGAUUUGAGUAAGAGCAUAGCUGUUGGGACCCGAAA
rnacentral:rRNA from 1 species